GUCAAAUAUUUGAGAUCCCUGAUGAAAAGUCUCAUGUCUUCUCUACAUGGCACUCCCUGAGACAGUCUGGCUAGAGGAUCUGGAAUGGAAUGACAGGAAGAAAACUGGCUGAUGGUUUAGAAAACCUAGAAUAUAUAAGCCUUGUACUCCAGUAAGCAGGCUUAUCCUGGGAUGAAGUCAUACUUUAUUCACUCUCCACCCUUCUCCAUUCCUUGCUGUGUUCCUAGAAAGCAAAAUUAUAUGAACUCAUUCAACUGGAAUCCCUCAUCUUCUAGCUUGCUCUGGGAAUCGUCAUGGAU